rnacentral:misc_RNA from 1 species
CCUUAAAGAACCUGCCUUUGUAGUGCUCACACAGAUUGUCUGAUGAAAAUGUAGCAGUAAAAAAUCUCUGCAGGCUUGUAGCUCAGGUGGUUAGAGCGCACCCCUGAUAAGGGUGAGGUCGGUGGUUCAAGUCCACUCAGGCCUACCAAAUUCGCUCCCGUGCUGCGUUGUGAAAUAACUCGCAUACUUCAGUAUGCUUCGUUCUUCCACGCCUUGCCGGAAUCGAAUUACGGUAAAUGAGAUUAACUACGAUGGGGCUAUAGCUCAGCUGGGAGAGCGCCUGCUUUGCACGCAGGAGGUCUGCGGUUCGAUCCCGCAUAGCUCCACCAUCUUUACUGCACAACACAAGAAAACUUCAGAGUGUACCUGAAAAGGUUCACUGCGAAGUUUUGCUCUUUAAAAAUCUGGAUCAAGCUGAAAAUUGAAACGACACACAGUUAAUGUGUGUUCGAGUCUCUCAAAUUUUCGCGACACGAUGAUGUUUUACGAAACAUCUUCGGGUUGUGA